CUGCCUGCCAGUCCAAACGGAGGGGACGAAGAAGAAGCAGCGGCGGCGGCUGUAGAAGAAGGAGGAAGAAGGUGAACGAAGAGGAGGUCCGCCAUCUUCGUGAGGUCGAAGCUCUGCAGCGAUGCCAAGACAUUGCUCAGCGGGCGGCUGCAAAUCUCGGGACAAUCGUGAGACCCGGGAUGCUGGUAUCACCUUUCACAAGUUACCGAAAGGAGAAACCAGGAGGCACCUCUGGAUCACCAACUCCCACCGUGCAGACUCCUGGGAUCCUCAGACUGACUUUGUCUACUUUUGCUCCAAACAUUUCACCCCAGAGAGUUUUGAGCUGACUGGAUGCAGUGGGAUCAGAAGACUCAGGGAAGAUGCCUUUCCGACAGUAUUUGAUUCGUCUUCAACAACCAAAUGCAAAAGACCAAAAACGCUGCCGAAACAAGAAGACGUUCCUGCCAGGAAGGAUUCCCACUCGGACGAGCAGGAGCGCAAACAACAAGAGACAGACAAGAAUCAGACUUUAAAAGAACCCACAGCUCAGAAGUCGGUGGCAGCAGCUGAGGAGAACCAUGAAAACAUACCUGCGUCUUCUCAGGAGCCGUCAGGGGUGGAGCAGCUCUCACAGCAAGAACGUAGCCCGUCUCCACCGCCGGCGUCUCGUCCCCCUUCCCCGUCUCGUUACAUGAGGCGCCUUCCUCCUCCUCCAGGUUUCUACCUGUCGAAGGAACACAGCUACGCUCAGCUCUCACCCCUGCUGUGGAGGAGACGUUACGACCAGGCCAUAGACUGCUUGGAGAAGGCGUUACGGCAGCUGCACGCGGCCAGGCGGAGGGAGAACCGGCUGCGGAGCACCGUGCUGAGGCUCCGUGAUAAGAGGCUGAAGCAGGCUCUGCUCGUGCCACGAGACGGUUGUAGAAAAAGGGGGAGCUGGACACCAGAGGCGGAGAGACGAGGCGAUAACCAGGAGGAGAGCGAGAGUGACACUAAAUCUGAGGAAACAGAUGUGUUUCAGGACAGAUGUGUGGAUCAGAUGGAGCUGGGCGGUCAUUUUCUUCCAGAUGCCAACAGCUGGUCUGAAGAGGAGAAAGGAUACUGCUUUUACUGUGGGAGAGGACAGGCACAGGCUGGUGAUCAGGUAGUACGCAGAGUUUCAAAGACUGAGGAAUAUGCUCAUCAGGACUCACUGACAAUCGAGACAAGCGUUGAAACGAGUACUUGUGGCACAGCCAAAGAGAAACGGAUAGUCAGGUUGAAAAGACCGCCUGGGAAAACGAGCGUAGAAACGAGCGACUCAGAUGUAACAAACACCAAAAUCCUGCUUCAAACUCAAAGUCUUCAACACGUACUCCCAGCCGCAGUGUCUCUGACUGAUAUUCACGAGCAGAGUUUGCCGUUUUUAGGCUCUCAGCAGAAGCCGCUGCUCUCUGACAUGUGUCAAACUGCAGCCAUGGUUCGGGAGCACCACCCAGACCAGCAGCAGCAGCAGCAGCAGAAGCAGCAGCUGUUUUGGAUACAGGACAGUCCUGAAGGACAGAUCAUACUGGUGCCUGUACCCGCUGAAGACGAUUUACAAAGCAUCCUAAAGAUGGAGGGAGUCGCGGACGAAGCACAAACCAUACUGGUGUCGGAGGUCGAUCUUAAACGACGCAUAGCGGAGAACAGCGGAGGUGGAACAGUCUGCGAUGGUGACCAGCAGUCUGUCAUGAACGCUGCGUCGGUGGAAAUGAGAGAAGACGUGAGGGAGAAACUUAAAGAACACCUGGAGGGUUUUCACCUGCAGCUGAGCACCGAGUUUCUGAACUGACAGCAGAGAGUUAACUGAACGAUUCAUUUGUGCCAUGAAUAGUUGAAUAUGCCGUGAGUUGUGUAGACUAUGAUGUUGUUUUUGAGAAGCUUUAAAGCCGUUUUAGAUGAAUGCUUUUCGUGUGCAGCGCCAAACCCACAAUGGAGCAAACUACAAACUGCGUGUCAGUCUGAUGACGAGUCUCCAUCCAUCGUUACGAACUACAGACGAAUCAUUGAGCCUUUUUUAAAUUAUAUAUUGACAAUUACAGGCAGGCAAACCAACCAGCGACCUCCAUGGUUGGGAAAUGAAGCACAAGUGCCAAAAACUGCAGUUCCUCAAACGUCCACUUGAGGCUGGCUCCAGAAGUGGGUGCCGGUACAGAUAGCCCAAGCAUCAUUCGGUCUGCCGAUGAUCCACUGCUUUGUCGCAAACUCCUCAUCUGUUAACAAAGAUAAGUGCUGAAUCCACCAUUUGUGUGAUUUCUGUAUAUCAGUUUUUUUAAUUAAGGGGGUCGUUGGGAAUGACACAAGAACUACACGGUCUGGCGAAAUUAUAUUUAAUAUUUCUAUAAUCCGACUUGUUAGAAAUACCUUCAGAGCCCUGCCGAGAGGAAACGUUUGAUUCUUAGCUGCUUCUACUUCCUGAAAUCUUUUCUAUUCAUGGUCUACACAAUGAGCAGAAGCUCCAUCACGUGGAAGCAGACGCAUGAAUGUAACCGAUCAAGUAAAAACCGCACAUCCUUUUGCAAAACUUAAACGUUAGAGACGAACUCUAAAUAUAUUUGACAUGUUUUCAUGAUUCCCAGACCUCUUUACUCAGAUCUAUCACCGAGAAACCUCUGAUUCUGUCACCACUUCACGUUAAGUCAACCAGCAUAAUGACUGUUUAUACAACUAAAUCCCACUCCUCUGAUUCAUUGGGGCGCGUUCAUGGUUAGUCAGCUCUGCAGGCUCUGGAGGAGCAGAGAAAACAAGCCUCGGAGUGUACACAUGAAUAAAAGAAAUCCUUGGCAUGUGGAAGAUGUUCAACAGGCAGGGAGGGUCUAAGGAAGAGAUGUGGCAUUAUGGGUAUUGUAGGACUCGUAGCAAAGUCUGGAAGUUUUGGAAAGGAGGAGCGCCGUGUCAUAUCAUGGGAAUGUUU